UCUUCGGAUGCUGACGAGUGGCGAACGGGUGAGUAAUACAUCGGAACGUGCCCGAGAGUGGGGGAUAACGAAGCGAAAGCUUUGCUAAUACCGCAUACGAUCUCAGGAUGAAAGCAGGGGACCGCAAGGCCUUGCGCUCACGGAGCGGCCGAUGGCAGAUUAGGUAGUUGGUGGGAUAAAAGCUUACCAAGCCGACGAUCUGUAGCUGGUCUGAGAGGACGACCAGCCACACUGGGACUGAGACACGGCCCAGACUCCUACGGGAGGCAGCAGUGGGGAAUUUUGGACAAUGGGCGCAAGCCUGAUCCAGCCAUGCCGCGUGCAGGAUGAAGGCCUUCGGGUUGUAAACUGCUUUUGUACGGAACGAAAAGACUCUGGUUAAUACCUGGGGUCCAUGACGGUACCGUAAGAAUAAGCACCGGCUAACUACGUGCCAGCAGCCGCGGUAAUACGUAGGGUGCGAGCGUUAAUCGGAAUUACUGGGCGUAAAGCGUGCGCAGGCGGUUAUGUAAGACAGAUGUGAAAUCCCCGGGCUCAACCUGGGAACUGCAUUUGUGACUGCAUAGCUAGAGUACGGCAGAGGGGGAUGGAAUUCCGCGUGUAGCAGUGAAAUGCGUAGAUAUGCGGAGGAACACCAAUGGCGAAGGCAA
rnacentral:rRNA from 1 species